GACGAACGCUGGCGGCGUGCUUAACACAUGCAAGUCGAACGGAAAGGCCCUGCUUUUGUGGGGUUCUCGAGUGGCGAACGGGUGAGUAACACGUGAGUAACCUGCCCUUGACUUUGGGAUAACUUCAGGAAACUGGGGCUAAUACCGGAUAGGAGCUCCUGCUGCAUGGUGGGGGUUGGAAAGUUUCGGCGGUUGGGGAUGGACUCGCGGCUUAUCAGCUUGUUGGUGGGGUAGUGGCUUACCAAGGCUUUGACGGGUAGCCGGCAUGAGAGGUUGAACGGCCACAUGGGGACUGAGAGACGGCCCAGACUCCUACGGUAGGCAGUAGUGGGGAAUAUUGCACAGUGGGCGGAAGCCUGAGGCGGCAACGCCGCGUGCGGGAUGACGGCCUUCGAGUUGUAAACCGCUUUCGCCUGUGACGAAGCGUGCGUGACGGUAAUGGGUAAAGAAGCACCGGCUAACUACGUG
rnacentral:rRNA from 1 species